rnacentral:rRNA from 1 species
AGAGUUUGAUCAUGGCUCAGGAUGAACGCUAGCGGCAGGCUUAAUACAUGCAAGUCGAGGGGCAGCAGGGUGUAGCAAUACAUCGCUGGCGACCGGCAAACGGGUGCGGAACACGUACGCAACCUUCCUUCAAGUGAGGAAUAGCCCAGGGAAACUUGGAUUAAUACCUCGUAACAUUAUGAGAUGGCAUCAUUUUAUAAUUAUAGCUCCGGCGCUUGAAGAUGGGCGUGCGCCUGAUUAGGUAGUUGGCGGGGUAACGGCCCACCAAGCCUUCGAUCAGUAACUGGUGUGAGAGCACGACCAGUCACACGGGCACUGAGACACGGGCCCGACUCCUACGGGAGGCAGCAGUAAGGAAUAUUGGUCAAUGGACGCAAGUCUGAACCAGCCAUGCCGCGUGGAGGAUGAAGGUCCUCUGGAUUGUAAACUUCUUUUAUCUGGGAAGAAACCCAUAUUUUCUAAUGUGGUUGACGGUACCAGAUGAAUAAGCACCGGCUAACUCCGUGCCAGCAGCCGCGGUAAUACGGAGGGUGCAAGCGUUAUCCGGAUUCACUGGGUUUAAAGGGUGCGUAGGUGGGUUGGUAAGUCCGUGGUGAAAUCCCCAAGCUUAACUUGGGAACUGCCGUGGAUACUAUCAAUCUUGAAUAUCGUGGAGGUAAGCGGAAUAUGUCAUGUAGCGGUGAAAUGCUUAGAUAUGACAUAGAACACCAAUUGCGUAGGCAGCUUACUACACGAUCAUUGACACUGAGGCACGAAAGCGUGGGGAGCAAACAGGAUUAGAUACCCUAGUAGUCC